rnacentral:rRNA from 1 species
CACGUAGGGCGCAAGCGUUGUCCGGAAUUAUUGGGCGUAAAGAGCUCGUAGGCGGUCUGUUGCGUCCGCUGUGAAAACUCGGGGCUUAACCCCGAGCCUGCAGUGGAUACGGGCAGACUAGAGGUAGGUAGGGGAGAAUGGAAUUCCCGGUGUAGCGGUGAAAUUCGUAGAUAUUCGGCGGAACACCAGUGGCGAAGGCGACUCACUGGCCCGAUACUGACGCUGAGGCACGAAAGCGUGGGGAGCAAACAGG